rnacentral:lncRNA from 1 species
GCCUAUAGUUAUAAAGCGCAUUUUAAUGGGAAGCAGGUACGGUUGUUCUAAAGCAAUUCAUAAAAUGCCUAGGGAGUUCCUCUUGUGGCUCAGCAGAUCCUUAACCCAUUGGGUGAGGCCAGGGAUCAAACCGGCAUCCUCAUGGUUAGUGCUGAGCCACAACGGAAACGUCCAAGAUGGUUUUAAUAAUGUUUCAGACAGGAGUUUCCAUCGUAGUGCAGUGGAAAUGAAUCUGACUAGUAUCCAUGAGGCUGCGGGUUUGAUCCCUGGCCUUGUUCAGUGGGUUAAGCAUCCAGCAUUGCCAUGAGCUGUGGUGUAGGUUGCAGAUGUGGCUCAGAUCUGGCAUUGCUGUGGCUGCAGUGUUGACCGGCAGCUAUAGCUCCAGUUGGACCCCUAACCUGGAAACUUCCAUAUGCACUGGUGCAGCCCUAAAAAGAAAAAAAAAAAAAAAAAGUUGGAAACAACUAUUAAGCACUGUAUUUAGAAAAUGCUUCUUUGCUUAUUAAUGGGGAAAACCUUUUUUUUUUUUUUUGUUUUGGUAAUCAAAGUAUAGUUGAUUUACAAUGUCAUGUUAGCUAUUUCUGGUACACAGCAAAGUGAUUCCAUUAUACACAUAUAUAUAUUCUUUCUUUUCAUAUUCUUUCCCAUUAUGGUUCAUCACAGGAUAUUGACUGUAGUUCUCUGUGCUAUACAGUAGGACUUUGUUGUUUAUCCAUCCUUUUUAUAAUAGCAUUUGCCAGUCACCAAUCCCAAUCCAACCCUCCCCCGCUCCUGUUGGCAACCACAAGUCUGUUCUCUAUAUCUGUGAGUCUGUUUCUGUAUUGUAGAUAAAUUCAUUUGUAUCAUAUUUUAGAUUCCACAAUGGGGAGAACCUUUUAAAAUGAGGUACGAGUUAUCUGGUGGAAGAAAUACACUACGCUAGUAUGAGAAGCACUCCACUGGGUUUCACAUAUAUUCACUUGAUAGUUCUCCAUAGUAUUUUCUUCUGGAAUAUAGUAUUAGAAAAGUUUUCAAAUAGAAUGAGCAGGAAGAACUGCCUUGAUCAUAGCAGAAACUGAGAAGGCAAAAAUGAAGAGGCAGUUUCUUGCCUGGAUCUGUCACCUGGCCACCAGAUGGGAGACAAGGCAAAGCUAUUAGACCUGCAAAGCAAUAAGGUGAGGUGUGAAAAAAACAAAGAACUCCUUUCCGGCUGACAUUUUUGUCUAGACAACCAGUUUAAACUUGUGCCCCUGAUAAUGACCAACAUCUCUUAACCUGAAUACCAGCCAGCUACAUCCUCAGGGGAAAAUGAGUAUCAUUUUUCUUAUUAACCAUUUCAAAGGGGGAAAUCCUGGGGGGAAAAGCAAUAGGAAAAACUACUGGAGGUUCUUUUUUCUUUCUGGCCUUGCCUGCAGCACAUGGAAGUUCCCAGGCCUGGGAUUGAACCCAUGCUAUAGCAAUGACCAGAACCAUGGCAGUAACAAUGCUAGAUCCUUAGCCCACUAAGCCACUAGGGAAGUCCCUUUUUUUUUUCUUUUAGUGAAAAAUCAAAACUCAGGAAAUAGUCGAAGCAAUUAAUAGAAUGCUUACAAUGAAGUCUAUGUAUGGCUUUCUGAGGUGUUUUUCAGUUUGAAUUGUACUUUAGGAAGACAUUGCUAUAAAAUUGGUCAAUUCAAGCGUUAAAAAAAUAUCAACUGACUUAAUUUUAAAGAUCUUAAUUGGUUUUAUUGAAUUAUUCAUGAAGCUGUCAGCAUCCCAUCUGGCAAAGAGAACGGAGAUCCAAGGAGCUGUACAAAAUGGAAAGCUUUAUAGGCAGAAGGGGGGAAAGAGUGGAUGGAUGGUUUGUUUUAGAUAACCUACCUAUUGCAAUGGCAGGGUGCUCUGUAGAAGAUUACCUCAUGGGUGCUGACCUGAAAAUUCCAGACUGACCAGUUAAGAUUAUAUUCCUGGCAGUUACGGUCGUGGCUCAGCGGAAAUGAAUCUGACUAGCAUCCAUGAGGACGCAGGUUCGAUCCCUGGCCUCGCUCAGUGGGUUAAGGAUCCGGCGUUGCUGUGAGCUGUGGUGUGGGUCACAGACGUGGUUCAGAUCUCACCUCGCUGUGGCUGUGGCGUAGGCCAGUGGCUACAGCUCUGAUUAGACCCCUAGCCUGGGAACCUCCAUAUGCCGUGGGUACAGCCCUAAAAAGAUAUUAAAAAAAAAAAAAAGAAAAA